AGGGAAAUAAUACUGGGAGGCAGCC
rnacentral:piRNA from 1 species